CAGCCAAAGGAGGAAAAGUUCUCAAUGGUGAUCCUUGCCCGGGGAUCUCCAGAGGAGGCUAAUCGCUGGCCCCGGAUCACUCAGCCUGUCCUUAAACGGCCACGCCAUGUGCAUUGUCACCUAUGUUGUCCAGAUGGGCAUAUGCAGCAUGCUGUGAUCACAGCCCGCCGCCAUGGCAGGGAUUUGUAUCGCUGUGCCCGUGUCAGCUCCUGGGGAGAUCUUUUACCUGUGACCACACCAUCUGAGCCUCCUCCAUCCUCUGCUGAAGAUCCACCUGAGAGCUGACAAGGAUAUGUAACAAGAGUUUUCUUCUAUCGUACUUGCCAAGGCUAAAGCUACCUGGUAUCCAGGAUGGGAGCGCUGGGACCCCUAUAUAUCUGUCUUUGAGGUUUUAAUAAUAAUAA